UAACGAUAGAUUCAAUUGACCGACUAUUAAGUAACAAUUUCCAUGAAGUACAAAAUAAAUAACAUAAACAAAGAAGAAAUAUAGUUGAAAUUUUAUGCUCAAGUGACAUAACACCGCAUCUAAAUCUUAUUAAGGUGAUAUCAAACUGUCAACAGAGAGAGACAAACUAAAGCGGUUACAAUGUUAACUGUCUGAUUUAUAACCGUCUUCCCCAAUAUGGAUAAUUGUUUGAAAACAUACGGGGCACCCAUUUUCUAGCUACGAAGCGAGUAUAGCCGGACCCAUAUUUUAUCAUGUCAUUUCGAUAAGAAAUCGCAUCUUCCCAGGUCCAAUCAAGCUGGUUCGGUGGAUAAAUUUUGGACAGAAUGAUAGUGUCUCUACGGAACAGAGACAGGAACAGGUAUGAAAUACCUUUCUUGUAACGAAAUGCCUGUCCUACUUGUAUCAUCCAUGCAGAUUUCGGAAGCUGGGAAACAGGCAUAUGAAUCAAACCACAAAUGUAUAAUCAAAUUCUAAUUCAACAAAAUAAUAAAUAAUAAUAAAUAAAAUCGAGAGAAUGUACACAAAGAGAAAGAAUAAGAGAAUGCCGACUGAGACUGUACACUUUAGGUUUAUGUUUGCUAAGUUUAGCAGCGUCUAACUUAGCUUUUAUUUUAGUUAGAUUAGAUGGUCUGCCACCAUUUCAGCCCAAGUAACCUAUAUUGGACUUUUGUGUUUUUUAAAAUUGGCUUAACUACAUAUUUGGUCCCUUAAGUUUGUUUUAAGUUUCAAUUUGGUCCCUUACGUUUAAAAAGUAUCAAUUUGGCCCCUUACGUUUAUUUUAGGUUUCAAGUUAGUCCUUUCCGUUAGUUUUGUUACUAACACCGUUUGAACAGUACACGUGUCAGCGUGUACAAGUGCCACGUGUCUGUCCACAUAUGCAAAUUGACUGCCACAUGUGACAAAAUUGACGGAAAAGACUAACUUGAAACCUAAAAUAAACGUAAGGGACCAAAUUGAUACUUUUUAAACGCAAGAGACCAAAUUGAAACCUAAAAUAAACGUAAGGGACUAAAUGUGUAGUUAAACCUUUAAAAUUUCUAUCAACCGACCACCACGUUUCUUUUAUACCCCUUGAAUUUUUGUUUUUGCAAUUCGGUUUAUGUUUACCGAAUUUUCUCUGAAUUUGCGUAGAAAAUAACCAAGUAGCCAUAUUAUUGCAUGCAAACCAAAUUGGACUUUUGUGUUUUAUACAUUUUCUAGGUAGCGAACUUAGUUUAGGUUUGAGCCAUGACUUAUGCUAAGACAAUUUGGGAACUGACCGAUGGGUUAAUUUUCAGAUUAAAAACACUUAAGGAGUUGAUUCAUAUUUUAUAUAUGUUUUAUAUAAAAAUAAUAUUACUAAUAUAUAAAACAUAUUUAUUAAAAAUCUUAACUAAAACUUCUAUCUCAAUCCGGCUUUAAUUCAUGGCCUUGUGUAGUUGGAAUGAUGAGUAUUUUUUAGGCUUUAAUCCAUGGCCUAAGCAGUUUGACUAUAAAUCAUAACAGUUUGGUUCGGUUAUUUAACAAAACCGAACCAUGAACAAUCCUAAUUCUAUAUAUAUCACGUGGCAUUCAAUAUGAUAAGACAUGUCAUAGUAAAAAAGAAUAAGAUAAUUAUAAUAAUAGAGUAGUUUAAGGACAGAAUUUCCAACCUGAGGCAAGUUACUUAGCUGGGAUACAAGAGGCUGAAGUAUUUUUGAGGCUGAAGCAGGACCAUUCGUAGAAACUCUCGAUAAAAUUCUUUGCAAAGCCAUACUACAAUUAGGACAGAAGCAUUUAGAUGACUCACAAGACAGCCAAUCCGAUAAUUAUCUAGAAUAUCAUGUAGAAACUCAUUACGACAGAAAUCAAUUCUCUUAAAAUAAAUAGAACGAGAUCAUCCUCCCUUAACCAAUGGUCGAGGGUUCGAUCCUCGACUUGAUAUGGAUACAAAGGUUUUGGCGACAAAAAGGUAUUGGCGCCUACCGUUACCGUUUUUCACCGUUUUUAUAGGGUGAAAAAAAAUCACGCCACAACCGCGNNNNNNNNNNNNNNNNNNAAUACAGCCGCAAAGAAACGCAAUACGGCCACGAGAAAAUGCUAACUGAUAGAGACUUCUAUUUUUUCCAAUAGAAAUGCAUAAAAAUCACAUUUUUAAUACAAAUAUGAACAUAAAUUAUAAAGUGUUAUAUCUUUUUAACUCUUUCCUAGUUCAAAACUUUACAUUUAUCUCAUAUUUAAGUUGUUAUACAUAUAUCAUAGUACACAUAAUUUUAAUAAGAUUUGUGCGAUAUUGUGAUUAAUUCACACCGCGACGAACGUAUUUCAUAACGCGACAGCCGUAACAGCCGAAAUCGCGAAAUCCUUGACGCGACCGCGAAUUAAAACCUUGAUGGAUACCCUUUGAGGUGCCUCCAAUCUAGCGAGGGGAAUAGUCACUGCAUUCGGCGGUGGAUACCCUGAUCCCGACCAAAAAAUAAAUAGAACUCAUGUGGGAACCUAAACUAAAACCCUAAACUAAACAGAAAAACAAAAACCAGUAGAAACCUAACCUAUUAAUUAAUUACCUAGAAUCAUGAUAGUAAAAUCAUUUAGAAACUCAUUAUGACAAAAAUCAAUAUUAGCCACCAACAUUAUCUCNNNNNNNNNNNNNNNNNNNNNNNNNNNNNNNNNNNNNNNNNNNNNNNNNNNNNNNNNNCAAAAACCAUAAACUAAACAGAAAUUUCAAAUAUGAACUAAAAUACAUGUAAGUUAUCUCAAUCAAUAUACAAUAUAGUUGAGCUCAUAAUCAAACUAUCACAAGCUUAAGUGAGUAAGAAAUAUUUGAGAAGGACAACAAUAAGAUCCAAACACAGACCAAAUUUCCCAAAUUAAUCAAACCUAGUUCAUAGAUUCUAUAUACAAUUUUACAGGAAGAAAAUUAAUCAAGAUUGGAAGUUGAAUCACAAAAAAUUGAAAGGAAAAGGGGAAUGAAGCUGAAGUGAAAUAGGAUAAACCUGGAUUGAGAGAGAGACUGGCGAGAGAUUGAGACGGAAGUGAGAAUCCCUAUAAUGGGAAUUUGGUAUUGAGACGGAGAGAUUGAAUCGUAUUUAUUAUUACUGUUCUCCUUUGGGCUGGGUGGAAUUUGGUAUUGGGCUUCAGUUCUUCUAGGUUGG
rnacentral:lncRNA from 1 species